rnacentral:rRNA from 1 species
AUAGCGUAUAUUAAAGUUGUUGCAGUUAAAAAGCUCGUAGUUGAACUUCAGGCCUGGCUGGGCGGUCCGCCUCACGGCGUGUACUGUCUGGCUGGGUCUUACCUCUUGGUGAGCCGGCGUGCCCUUUAUUGGUGUGCGUCGGGGAACCAGGACUUUUACCUUGAGAAAAUUAGAGUGUUCAAAGCAGGCCUGUGCCUGAAUACAUUAGCAUGGAAUAAUAAAAUAGGACGUGCGGUUCUAUUUUGUUGGUUUCUAGAGUCGCCGUAAUGAUUAAUAGGGAUAGUUGGGGGCAUUGGUAUUGAGUCGCUAGAGGUGAAAUUCUUGGAUCGUCGCAAGACUAACUACUG